GCAGGCGACCGUGGGGGCUGCCAAAAUGGAAAGACUGAGGUUUUUUAGGUUUUUUUUUUUAUUUAUUUUGGGUUGGGGGGGAAAUUUUAAUAUUCAUCCCCCCCACCUGGUGCUGAGUGCGGGUCCUGCCUCCGCCGCUGGAAGAGAAACCUCGGCAAACAAAGGAGAGGAUGCGGGAGACCCGCAGCGAAAAGAGCUUUAUUGGCGCGGCACGGCACGGCACGGCACGGCACGGCACGGCGGGCUCCUUGCGGCAUCCGCACCCGCUGGGCUAUGAGCCCAGGAAGGAAAGGGGGGGGUGGGGGGCUGCCCCCAAAUACCUGCAGCACCCCAGGGGGGGUCAGGGUGCAAAGAGUCGUCCCAGGGACCCCAAACUCCUGUUGAUGUUCUUCCUGUGGGUGCCGUCCCGGAGGUGAGGGUCUGCGCGCGGGGCUGCAAAGAGAGAUGGACCCCCCCUCACUGCCAUCAUCAAAGGCCCCCCCUGCCCCAUGGGGGAGGUUGUGGGGGGGGAUGACACCGUCCCUUCCAGUAAGGCCUGUCCUUGCCCAGUGCGAGGUACCUGCUGGGAGCACUGGGGCAGAGGGUCGGGGAUGGAGGGAUGCAGGGCGGGUUGGCCUCCAGCUGCAAAGGGAUGGGAGAAGGGAUGGGAGAAGGGAUGGGAGAAGGGAUGGGAGAAGGGAUGGGAGAAGGGAUGGGAGAAGGGAUGGGAGAAGGGAUGGGAGAAGGGAUGGGAGAAGAAGGGAUGGGAGAAGAAGGGAUGGGAGGUGAAGGGCAGGGAAAGGGGGUGAGGGGUGGCGAUGGGCUCCCAGGCACCCCUCUGGCUAAAGAGGUGAAGAAAAAAAUUGGAACAAAAAUCAAAAAGCGUGAAAAAGGAAGGGAAGAAAUAAAAAAGAGAGCUGGGUGGCAGCGGAGCAGGCAGCUCUGCGUUAGGCCGCGGGGUCGCAGCAUCCCUCUUUCCCCCCCCAACCC
rnacentral:lncRNA from 1 species